UGUGGGAGCGGGCUUGCUCGCGAUUGAAUCAACGCGGUCUUGCUGGAUAACCUCGUUGCCUGUAUCGCGAGCAAGCCCGCUCCCACA
rnacentral:misc_RNA from 1 species